AUGUAUAAGAUGAACGUGGACACAUGCUUUAUGGAGGAUGGAUGCGGGGCUACUGCGGCCGUUCUUCGAAACCACCAUGGACAGGCUUUGGCUGGUUCAUCGUCCCUGGUUAGUCACGUUCUCGACGCCCCUUCCGCCGAGGCGAUGGCAUUGAAAAAUGGUAUGAUGCUUGCAGACCAACUUGGAUGUUCCAAUAUCACUUUUGAAUCAGACUGCCUCGAAAUUAUCUUAGCAUGCAAGGGGGAAGUGGACAUUCUGGGUCCUUAUUCGGCGAUUUUGAGUGACUGUUUUAUAUUAGCUCAAAGAAUCGGGUCAGUAUCCUAUGCUCAUUGUCCAAGAGGGGCAAACCAAGUGGCACACAAGGUAGCUAUGUUGUUACGAUUCUAA
rnacentral:rRNA from 1 species